GACGAACGCUGGCGGCGUGCUUAACACAUGCAAGUCGAACGGUAAGGCCCUUCGGGGUACACGAGUGGCGAACGGGUGAGUAACACGUGGGUGAUCUACCCUGCACUUCGGGAUAAGCCUGGGAAACUGGGUCUAAUACCGGAUAGGACUCCUGCCUGCAUGGGUGGGGGUGGAAAGCUUUUGUGGUGUGGAUGGGCCCGCGGCCUAUCAGCUUGUUGGUGGGGUGAUGGCCUACCAAGGCGACGACGGGUAGCCGGCCUGAGAGGGUGACCGGCCACACUGGGACUGAGAUACGGCCCAGACUCCUACGGGAGGCAGCAGUGGGGAAUAUUGCACAAUGGGCGCAAGCCUGAUGCAGCGACGCCGCGUGAGGGAUGACGGCCUUCGGGUUGUAAACCUCUUUCAGCACAGACGAAGCGCAAGUGACGGUAUGUGCAGAAGAAGGACCGGCCAACUACGUGCCAGCCGCCGCAGUAA
rnacentral:rRNA from 1 species